rnacentral:lncRNA from 1 species
GAGAAGGCUUUGCACGGCGAAAAGGAAUGGUACUUUUUCUCACCAAGAGAUAGAAAAUAUCCGAACGGUUCACGGCCGAACAGAGCGGCCGGAACCGGUUACUGGAAGGCAACCGGAGCUGAUAAGCCAGUGGGAAAGCCCAAGACUUUAGGGAUAAAAAAGGCGUUAGUGUUCUAUGCAGGAAAAGCACCUAGAGGAAUCAAAACCAAUUGGAUAAUGCACGAAUAUCGACUCGCUAAUGUGGACCGGUCUGCUGGCAAGAGCAAUAACUUGAGGGUAAGCACUUUAGGACUAGAAUUUAAACUUUAUAAUUUCGAAUCUAAAAUUUUAUUAUUAUAAUCAAAAUUUUCUUAUUUGUACUCAUUUAGCGAACUUUUUGCAGCUUGAUGAUUGGGUAUUGUGUCGAAUAUACAACAAGAAGGGCACACUAGAGAAGUAUUACAAUGUGGAUAACAAGGAGCAUUUGGGCUUCGAAGAAGUUGAGGAAGAAGAGGAAAAACCAAAAAUUUUACCAUUUUCACAAAGUAAUGAGUUGAUAGCACGACUAGCACCAACGCCGAUGCCAUCGCGGCCACAAUCGAUGCCGGGGAGUGACUACUUUCACUUCGAAACGUCUGAGUCGAUGACUCGAAUGCAUACAACAAACUCGAGCUCUGAGUGUUUUGUCGUCGUGUGACAAGGAGGUCCAAAGUGCUCCCAAAUGGGACGAUCUCGACAAGGCCCUUGAUUUCCAGCUAAAUUAUUUGGACAACUUCCAAUAUGACCCUUUCGAGGCCCAAAUGCAGCUGCAAAAUUGCAACACUGAUCAGUUCAAUUCUUUCCAAGACAUGUUCGUAUACAUGCAGAAACCUUAUUAUUCCGGUGCGAAUCAGAAUUAGUCAAAGCUCCGAAUUUCAAAUUUCUCCCUUACUAAUUGUAAUCAUUGGAUUUAACUGAAUGUGAUCCAAGGCCCUCCUCUUAGUUCUUUCAACUUUAUUCUUUGGGGUAGG